rnacentral:rRNA from 1 species
UACGUAGGGGGCAAGCGUUGUCCGGAUUUAUUGGGCGUAAAGAGCGUGUAGGCGGCCAAGCAGGUCCGCUGUGAAAACUCGAGGCUCAACCUCGAGACGUCGGUGGAAACCGUUUGGCUAGAGUCCGGAAGAGGAGAGUGGAAUUCCUGGUGUAGCGGUGAAAUGCGCAGAUAUCAGGAAGAACACCCGUGGCGAAGGCGGCUCUCUGGGACGGUACUGACGCUGAGACGCGAAAGCGUGGGGAGCGAACAGG